CUGCCUGGGCUUAAGACAAAGCCAGGCAGUUUCCCUGUGCUCCCACCAGUUCUCACGGUUGGCUGAGAUCACCAGCGAAGGCUCGCGUCCCUCUGUGGUCAAGCAUCUCCUGACACUUUUAAAGCGCGAGCUGAUGAGCACACGGGAGACAGCACACGGCGUGGCCACGUAACUCCCAGGCAUGAUGGUUCCCGAGUGCUAGCUUGAGACUGGCCUGCUGACAUUCAAGAGCACACCCAUCAGAAGGGACACCUCGGCCGGAGCCUGCGCUGACCCAACCUACUCUUAAGGAAGAGCACUGGAUUGGCCUUGGAGGAACCAUCCAUGAUGAAUAUGGAACCAAGAUACCAGCACUAUGUCCCUAGCCAUGAAGACUGGCUCAUAGAAGGGCAGGUGAUAUGACCAUCCCAGGGACUUUGAGAAAGGGCAUUUUGGUUGGCCUGCCAAGGCGCCAACCUAACCCAGAGAUAAGUGCAGGAGACUGGCAGCAAGAGGGAGAGGUGCUGCUGUCAGAGCUUUUAGGACAUCUUGAUACAGCCAGGCCUGAAGGCAGAUAACCCUAGAAUUUUCAUGUAUAUUGCUCAAUGACAUCAUCUUUUAUUUCUUGUGUCACUUGCAUUCAAGAGUCCUGACUGAUAUAAAUUAUUUCCCAACUUUAGAACUCAUUCAUUGCUGAAAAAAUGAAUGAGAUAUAAUACUUUUGAAUUAUAAGCUUAUAACAUA